UACGGGGGGGGUAAGCGUUGUUCGGAAUUACUGGGCGUAAAGGGCUCGUAGGCGGCCAACUAAGUCGGACGUGAAAUCCCUCAGCUUAACUGGGGAACUGCGUCUGAUACUGGCGAGCUUGAGUGCAGGAGAGGAACGCGGAAUUCCAGGUGUAGCGGUGAAAUGCGUAGAUAUCUGGAGGAACACCGGUGGCGAAGGCGGCGUUCUGGACUGCAACUGACACUGAAAAACGAAAGCCAGGGGAGCAAACGGG
rnacentral:rRNA from 1 species